GGGUGUGAGGGCAAUCUGACUAUGCUGUCACCUCAUCAAUUGCCAGUGUUGAUUCAGCUGAUCUUGGACACUAGGAGGAUGUCCCCUUCCUCCCUCACCACUUUAUCUGCAUCCUUCCUGAAGUGGCGUGUUCAGUGAAAGAUGACCUUCCACUAUAGAGACCAUUCUUUACCAUUCUUUGGUCAAAAGUAUAUGAAUUGCUGUUCUCCCCUAUAAGAACUAGCUCCCAAGAUUCAUUUGUAGAAGAGCAUAGGGAAGACAAGCUUCCAAGACUUCAGAUAUAUUCAGAUGAGACGCUGUACAUAGCAGUCUGCCUUUCUUU
rnacentral:snRNA from 1 species